GCCUGGUCCCAGUGCAGUGGUAUUUACCACUAAUUGAUCACAAUUAGUUGCAAAUUUAUUUCUCCAUUUCCACUGCUUCAUUUGACUAACCUUUA
rnacentral:Y_RNA from 1 species